UAACAAGGAUUCCCUAGUAACUGCGAGUGAAGCGGGAUGAGCUCAAAUUUAAAAUCUGUCAGCUUGCGCUGUCCGAGUUGUAAUCUAGAGAAGCAUUUUCUGUGAUGGACCGUGUACAAGUUUCUUGGAAUAGAACUUCAUAGAGGGUGAGAAUCCCGUCCAUGACACGGACUACCGUUACUUUGUGAUAUGCUCUCAAAGAGUCGAGUUGUUUGGGAAUGCAGCUCAAAAUGGGUGGUAAGUUCCAUCUAAAGCUAAAUAUUGGCGAGAGACCGAUAGCGAACAAGUACCGUGAGGGAAAGAUGAAAAGCACUUUGGAAAGAGAGUUAAACAGUACGUGAAAUUGUUGAAAGGGAAACGCUUGAAGUCAGUCGCGUUGCUUAGGACUCAGCCUUGCUUUUGCUUGGUGUACUUCCUAUGUAACGGGUCAACAUCAAUUUUGGUUGGUGGAUAAAGAUUGAAGGAAUGUGGCAUCUUAGGAUGUGUUAUAGCCUUCUUUCGUAUACACUGGCUGGGAUUGAGGUCUGCAGCACGCCUUUAUGGCCGGGGUUCGCCCACGUAUCGUGCUUAGGAUGUUGGCAUAAUGGCUUUAAGCGACCCGUCUUGAAACACGGACCAAGGAGUCUAACAUGCUUGCGAGUAUUAGAGUGGAAAACUCUUGUGCGUAAUGAAAGUGAAAGUUGGGACUCUUCGCGGAGGCACCGACGCCCGGCUCUGAAGUUUACUGACGAUGCUGCGGUAGAGCACGUAUGUUGGGACCCGAAAGAUGGUGAACUAUGCCUGAAUAGGGUGAAGCCAGGGGAAACUCUGGUGGAGGCUCGUAGCGAUUCUGACGUGCAAAUCGAUCGUCAAAUUUGGG
rnacentral:rRNA from 1 species